ACUGCUCAGUAACACGUGGACAACCUACCCUUGGGUCUGGCAUAAUCCUGGGAAACUGGGUAUAAUUCCAGAUAGGUCACAGAUGCUGGAAUGCACUGUGGCCGAAAGCUCCGGCGCCCAAGGAUGGGUCUGCGGCCUAUCAGGGUUGUAGUGGGUGUAACGGACCUACUAGCCUACGACGGGUACGGGUUGUGAGAGCAAGAGCCCGGAGAUGGAUUCUGAGACACGAAUCCAGGCCCUACGGGGUGCAGCAGGCGCGAAAACUUUACAAUGCGGGAAACCGUGAUAAGGGAAUCUCGAGUGCCAGCAUAUAAUGUUGGCUGUCCAGAUGCCUAAAAAGCAUCUGUUAGCAAGGGCCGGGCAAGACCGGUGCCAGCCGCCGCGGUAACACCGGCGGCCCGAGUGGUAACCGCUUUUAUUGGGUCUAAAGGGUCUGUAGCCGGCCAAGUAAGUCCCUUGGGAAAUCUGGCAGCUUAACUGUCAGGCUGCUAGGGGAUACUGCUAGGCUUGGGACCGGGAGAGGUGAGAGGUACCUUGGGGGUAGGGGUGAAAUCUUGUGAUCCUCGGGGGACCACCAGUGGCGAAGGCGUCUCACCAGAACGGGUCCGACGGUAAGGGACGAAAGCUAGGGGCACGAACCGGAUUAGAUGCCCGGGUAGUCCUAGCCGUAAACGAUGCUCGCUAGGUGUCAGUCACGGUGCGACCGUGAUUGGUGCCGUAGGGAAGCCGUGAAGCGAGCCACCUGGGAAGUAUGGCCGCAAGGCUGAAACUUAAAGGAAUUGGCGGGGGAGCAC
rnacentral:rRNA from 1 species